GUAAAUUAAGAUGACCACCACCCGAACUACUUAACUCCUGUGUAAUCACAACAUGAUGCGUUGAAUUCAAUAGGGUGGAUUCGACUCUGAUGCUGUGGCAACCGCAAACAUCUUGGAGACCUCCACACCAGUGAUCGACGGGAAGAAAUACUACUUCAUCUCGGUUCUGACGAGGACGGCCGACGGAGACGAGGGCGGGAAGCAUCAGCUCAUAACAGCGACUGUCUCCGGUGGUAAGCUUUACAUCUGCAAGGCGCAAGCUGGUGACAAGAGAUGGUUCAAGGGUGCCAGGAAGUUCGUGGAAAGCGCAGCGAGUUCCUUCAGCGUUGCAUAAGAAAAUUCCCUCGCGGGCCUUGAAUUCCUGCUGCUGUGAACGAGUUGAAUGCUGCUGCGACUGCCAAUCUGUAGGAUAAGAACGUGUUUAUUUGAAUUGUCGGAUGUAAAACCUUUUCCGUCUCUAUAAAUUCCUACAAUUCUCUCCUGUUUUGUGUCUCCACAACUAAAAGGGGCUAAACAAAGACGCGGUAUAUACGAAUGAUUCAGGUAGAUAGAUGUCUUGUGCAGAGAGAUUCAGAAACUAGAUCAGAUACAAGAGAACUCGGAACGUUUGAUGAUUACAGAACCUUUUCAUCACCAUCUGUUGCAUGCUCACAGAAUACAGAUUAAGCUCACAGCAGUUCAAACCUUGUUUGAGCAUGAGAUCGUCGCGUGCUAUCCAAAUGCCUCGACUCUGUAAGCCAGCACAGGAGUGAGGAGGCAAGAGAAGAUGGAGUUCCUCAUCUUCGUCCUCAUCAUCAUGUCGAUGAUCCAGUGGCAAUGCACGACGUCGCACAGAAUCCGCAGGACGCCUCGCUGAUCGUGCCCUGACUCCAGGGCCGCCAGCUCCAGCAACACCAUGAAGAAGGGAUGCG
rnacentral:lncRNA from 1 species